rnacentral:rRNA from 1 species
UACGUAGGGUGCAAGCGUUGUCCGGAAUUAUUGGGCGUAAAGAGCUCGUAGGCGGUUCGUCACGCGGAUGUGAAAUUCCAGGGCUCAACCCUGGACCUGCAUUCGAUACGGGCGGACCAGAGUUCGGUAGGGGAGACUGGAAUUCCUGGUGUAGCGGUGAAAUGCGCAGAUAUCAGGAGGAACACCGGCGGCGAAGGCGGGUCUCUGGGCCGAUACUGACGCUGAGGAGCGAAAGCGUGGGGAGCGAACAGG